GUGAGGGAAAGGUGAAAAGAACCCCGGGAGGGGAGUGAAAGAGAACCUGAAACCCUGCACUUACAAGCUGUAGGAGCACAUUAUUUGUGUGACUGCGUACUUUUUGUAGAACGGGCCAACGAGUUACGUUGUGUAGCAAGGUUAAGCACUUAAGGUGUGGAGCCGUAGCGAAAGCGAGUCUUAAAUGGGCGUCCAGUUACCCGACGUAGACCCGAAACCAGGCGACCUAUCCAUGAGCAGGUUGAAGCGAAAGUAAAAUUUCGUGGAGGACCGAACCCACGUACGUUGAAAAGUGCGGGGAUGACUUGUGGAUAGCGGUGAAAUUCCAAUCGAGCCUGGAGAUAGCUGGUUCUCCCCGAAAUAGCUUUAGGGCUAGCCUCAAGAUUAGAGAAGCGGAGGUAGAGCACUGAAUGUCCUAGGGGGUAUUGCACUUACCGAAGACUAUCAAACUCCGAAUGCCGUAUUCUUUUGCUUGGGAGUCAGACUAUGGGUGAUAAGAUUCAUAGUCAAGAGGGCAACAGCCCAGAUCGUCAGCUAAGGUCCCUAAAUGUAAGUUAAGUGGUAAAGGAUGUGGAAUUGCACAGACAACCAGGAUGUUGGCUUAGAAGCAGCCACUCAUUUAAAGAGUGCGUAAUAGCUCACUGGUCGAGUGAUUCUGCGCCGAAAAUUUCCGGGGCUAAAACUUACUACCGAAGCUACGGCAUCAUUAUGAUGGGUAGGGGAGCUUUCUAUGCGGCUUGAAGCAUGACCGUAAGGACAUGUGGACUGCAUAGAAGUGAGAAUGUUGGCAUGAGUAGCGAGAUGUGGGUGAGAAUCCCACAGGCCGUAAACCCAAGGUUUCCAGGGGAAGGUUCGUCCGCCCUGGGUUAGUCAGGACCUAAGCCGAGGCCGAAAGGCGUAGGUGAUGGACAACAGGUUGAUAUUCCUGUACCACCAAUAACCGUUUGAGAAAUGGGAUGACACAGUAGGAUAAGCUAACCGCACUGUUGGUUAUGUGCGGGCAAGUAUUGAGGCAGUUCCGAUAGGCAAAUCCGUCGGAAUAAUGCUGGGGUACGAUGCGGAGCGAAAUUUAGUAGCGAAGUAGCUGAUUUCACACUGUCGAGAAAAGUCUCUAUCGAGGUUAAAGGUGCCUGUACCGCAAACCGACACAGGUGGGUGAGGAGAGUAUCCUAAGGCCAGCGAGAGAACUGUUGUUAAGGAACUCGGCAAAAUGACCCCGUAACUUAGGGAGAAGGGGUGCCUUCGAAAGAAGGCCGCAGAGAAUAGGCCCAAGCGACUGUUUACCAAAAACAUAGGUUUCUGCUAAGUCGCAAGACGAUGUAUAGGAGCUGACGCCUGCCCGGUGCUGGAAGGUUAAGGGGAUCUGUUAGAGCAAUCGAAGCAGUGAACUUAAGCCCCAGUAAACGGCGGCCGUAACUAUAACGGUCCUAAGGUAGCGAAAUUCCUUGUCGGGUAAGUUCCGACCCGCACGAAAGGCGUAACGAUUUGGGCACUGUCUCAACAACAGACUCGGUGAAAUUGUAAUACCGGUGAAGAUGCCGGUUACCUGCGACAGGACGGAAAGACCCCAUGGAGCUUUACUGUAGCUUGACAUUGAGUCUCGGUGCUACAUGUACAGGAUAGGUGGGAGACUAUGAAGCAUGGACGUCAGUCUGUGUGGAGUCAUCCUUGGGAUACCACCCUUGUAGUACUGGGAUUCUAACCAGAGGCCAUGAAUCUGGUCUUGGGACACUGUCAGGUGGACAGUUUGACUGGGGCGGUCGCCUCCCAAAAAGUAACGGAGGCGCUCAAAGGUUCUCUCAGUACGGUCGGAAAUCGUACGAAGAGUGUAAAGGCAAAAGAGAGCUUGAUUGCAAGACAUACAGGUCGAGCAAGGACGAAAGUCGGACUUAGUGAUCCGGUGGUUCCGCAUGGAAGGGCCAUCGCUCAACGGAUAAAAGCUACCCUGG
rnacentral:rRNA from 1 species